rnacentral:lncRNA from 1 species
CGAACUACGAGUACGAGUCUCCACCCAGUCAAAAACAUUCCUGCUUCCAAUCACAAAUUCCAAAAAAGUGUUUCCGGCCGGUAUGCCUCCCAUCACCGACAGUUCCCGGAGACACCAGUCCGGUCACUUUGAGCACCCAUUCCGGUACCCCGAAGCGUUGAUACAAGUAGUGAGUUGUCAUGUUUUAUAUCCGAGAUUAGGAGCGAAGGCGCGAACUCAUCUGUCCAUAGGCCUAUACCUGGUACCCGAACGAGACUCAUUUUUAUCUCCGAGCGCACCUACAAUACAUGUCAGCAUAUCCGAGACUUCCAGAAGUCACAUCCCGCCCGGGUCGAACCAAAAGCCACACAUCCAAGCACUCCAUUCUGCUCUGGGCACCCCGGGGACCAGUUUGGACACCUAAUCCGACCGGGACUUGUUUGGUCUACUUUCAUUUGCCAUCACUUCAUCUCCAGGCAGCUCAUCCCGGAAGGUAGCUCAUCUCUCGGUAUGGCAGUCUCUCAAUCUCUCUCGGUAUCGCCGACAUAGGCGAGC